GAGAGGGAAUACAGAGGGCAAUUUCUCUCUGUCUCUCUCUUUCUCAG
rnacentral:miRNA from 1 species